rnacentral:rRNA from 1 species
AAUAUUUGACAAUGGGUGAGAGCCUGAUCCAGCCAUCCCGCGUGCAGGAAGAAUGCCUUAUGGGUUGUAAACUGCUUUUAUACAGGAAUAAACCACUUUACGUGUAAGGUGUUGAAGGUACUGUAUGAAUAAGCAUCGGCUAACUCCGUGCCAGCAGCCGCGGUAAUCCGGCGGAUGCAAGCGUUAUCCGGAUUUAUUGGGUUUGAAGGGUCGGUAGGCGGGCAGAUAAGGUAGAGGUGAAAUCCGACAGCUUGACUGACGAACUGCCUUUGAAACUGAAUGGCUUGAGUGGGAUUGAAGAAGCUGGAAUGGGUAGUGUAGCGGUGAAAUGCAUUGCUAUUACACAGAACACAGAUAGAGUAGGGAGGUUGCUAAGUCUUUCCUGACGCUGAUGGACGAAAGCGUGGGGAGCAAACA